GAUGAAGAACGCAGCGAAAUGCGAUAAGUAAUGUGAAUUGCAGAAUUCAGUGAAUCAUCGAAUCUUUGAACGCACCUUGCGCCCCUUGGUAUUCCGAGGAGCAUGCCUGUUUGAGUGUCAUGAAACCCUCAAACCCAAGUUUUGGAUUUCGAUCCAUGCUUGAGUUUGGAUUUGGAUGUUUGCCGGUGAUGAACCGACUCAUCUUAAAAGUAUUAGCUUGGAUCUGUCUAUAUGACUGGUUUGACUUGGCAUAAUAAGUAUUUUGCUGAGGACAUCUUCGGAUGGCCAGGACCUAGACUACUGUCUGCUAACUAAACCAUCACUUUAAGUGCAUCUUUGGAUGUUACUCAUUGUGUAACUUUGACAUCUGGCCUCAAAUCAAGUAGGACUACCCGCUGAACUUAAGCAUAUCAAUAAGCGGAGGA
rnacentral:misc_RNA from 1 species